CCUUCUUUAGAACAGGUGCCCAAAAUUGCACAGCAUAUUCAAUAUGUGGUCUUACCAGUGAUUUAUAAAGAGGCAAAAUGAUAUUCUCAUCCCGAGAAUGAAUGCCCUUUUUCAUGCAUGACAAUACCUUACUGGCCUUAGCCACUGCUGAUUGACAUUGCACAUUGUUGCAUAGUUUGUUGUCUAUAACAAUUCCCAAGUCCUUUUCGUGUGUUGUUAUGCCUAAUUCGCUUCCAUUAAGG